rnacentral:rRNA from 1 species
GACGAACGCUGGCGGCGUGCCUAACACAUGCAAGUCGAACGGAAAGGCCCUGCUUUUGUGGGGUGCUCGAGUGGCGAACGGGUGAGUAACACGGGAGUAACCUGCCCUUGACUUUGGGAUAACUUCAGGAAACUGGGGCUAAUACCGGAUAGGAGCUCCUGCUGCAUGGUGGGGGGUGGAAAGUUUCGGCGGUUGGGGAUGGACUCGCGGCUUAUCAGCUUGUUGGUGGGGUAGUGGCUUACCAAGGCUUUGACGGGUAGCCGGCCUGAGAGGGUGACCGGCCACAUUGGGACUGAGAUACGGCCCAGACUCCUACGGGAGGCAGCAGUGGGGAAUAUUGCACAAUGGGCGGAAGCCUGAUGCAGCAACGCCGCGUGCGGGAUGACGGCCUUCGGGUUGUAAACCGCUUUCGCCUGUGACGAAGCGUGAGUGACGGUAAUGGGUAAAGAAGCACCGGCUAACUACGUG